rnacentral:tRNA from 1 species
AAGGGUAUAGCUCAAUGAUAGAGCAUAUGCUUAGCAUGCAUAAGGUUCUGGGUUCAAUCCCUAGUGCCUCCU